GACGAACGCUGGCGGCGUGCUUAACACAUGCAAGUCGAACGAAGAGCGAUGGAAGCUUGCUUCUCUCAAUCUUAGUGGCGAACGGGUGAGUAACGCGUAAUCAACCUGCCCUUCAGAGGGGGACAACAGUUGGAAACGACUGCUAAUACCGCAUACGAUCUAAUCUCGGCAUCGAGGAUAGAUGAAAGGUGGCCUCUACAUGUAAGCUAUCACUGAAGGAGGGGAUUGCGUCUGAUUAGCUAGUUGGAGGGGUAACGGCCCACCAAGGCGAUGAUCAGUAGCCGGUCUGAGAGGAUGAACGGCCACAUUGGGACUGAGACACGGCCCAGACUCCUACGGGAGGCAGCAGUGGGGAAUCUUCCGCAAUGGACGAAAGUCUGACGGAGCAACGCCGCGUGAGUGAUGACGGCCGUCGGGUUGUAAAGCUCUGUUAAUCGGGACGAAAGGCCUUCUUGCGAAUAGUGAGAAGGAUUGACGGUACCGGAAUAGAAAGCCACGGCUAACUACGUG
rnacentral:rRNA from 1 species